rnacentral:rRNA from 1 species
GAUGAACGCUGGCGGCGUGCCUAAUACAUGCAAGUCGAGCGAACAGACGAGGAGCUUGCUCCUCUGACGUUAGCGGCGGACGGGUGAGUAACACGUGGAUAACCUACCUAUAAGACUGGGAUAACUUCGGGAAACCGGAGCUAAUACCGGAUAACAUGUUGAACCGCAUGGUUCAACAGUGAAAGACGGUUUUGCUGUCACUUAUAGAUGGAUCCGCGCGGCAUUAGCUAGUUGGUAAGGUAACGGCUUACCAAGGCAACGAUGCGUAGCCGACCUGAGAGGGUGACCGGCCACACUGAAACUGAGACACGGUCCAGACUCCUACGGGAGGAAGCAGUAGGGAAUCUUCGGCAAUGGGCGAAAGCCUGACGGAGCAACGCGGCGGGAGUGAAGAAGGUCUUCGGAUCGUAAAACUCUGUUAUUAGGGAAGAACAAAUGUGUAAGUACCUAUGCACGUCUGGACGGUACCUAAUCAGAAAGCCACGGCUAACUACGU